rnacentral:rRNA from 1 species
UGGCGACCAUAUCCGAUUGGAAACACCUGUUCCCAUUCCGAACACAGUAGUUAAGCGAUCGGAGCCGAUGAUAGUGCCUACCAGUGCGAAAGUAGGUAUCG